rnacentral:tRNA from 1 species
UUAAUUGAAGCUAAAAUAGAAGCUAUCCACUGUUAAUGGAAAAAAUGGUUAAUCCCAGUUAAA